GGACCAGACUCCUACGGGAGGCAGCAGUGGGGAAUAUUGCACAAUGGGGGAAACCCUGAUGCAGCGACGCCGCGUGGGUGACGAAGUAUUUCGGUAUGUAAAGCCCUAUCAGCAGGGAAGAAGAUGACAGUACCUGACUAAGAAGCCCCGGCUAACUACGUGCCAGCAGCCGCGGUAAUACGUAGGGGGCAAGCGUUAUCCGGAUUUACUGGGUGUAAAGGGAGCGUAGACGGCAGCGCAAGUCUGAAGUGAAAUGCCGGGGCUUAACCCCGGAACUGCUUUGGAAACUGUGCAGCUAGAGUGCAGGAGAGGUAAGUGGAAUUCCUAGUGUAGCGGUGAAAUGCGUAGAUAUUAGGAGGAACACCAGUGGCGAAGGCGGCCUGCUGGACGAUGACUGACGUUGAGGCUCGAAAGCGUGGGGAGCAAACAGGAUUAGAUACCCCUGUAAAA
rnacentral:rRNA from 1 species